GAUGAACGCUGGCGGCGUGCUUAAUACAUGCAAGUCGAGCGAAGCACUUUAACGGAAUUCUCCGGAAGGAAGGUAAAGUGACUGAGCGGCGACGGGUGAGUAACGCGUGGGUAACCUGCCUUAUACAGGGGGAUAACAGUUAGAAAUGGCUGCUAAUACCGCAUAAGCGCACAGGGCCGCAUGGCCCGGUGUGAAAAACUCCGGUGGUAUAAGAUGGACCCGCGUCUGAUUAGCUGGUUGGUGGGGUAACGGCCCACCAAGGCGACGAUCAGUAGCCGGCCUGAGAGGGUGAACGGCCACAUUGGGACUGAGACACGGCCCAG
rnacentral:rRNA from 1 species